GACGAACGCUGGCGGCGUGCUUAACACAUGCAAGUCGAACGGUGAAGCGCCUUCCUUUUUGGUGGGUGUGGAUGAGUGGCGAACGGGUGAGUAACACGUGAGUAACCUGCCCCCUUCUUCUGGAUAACCGCAUGAAAGUGUGGCUAAUACGGGAUAUUCUGGGUCUGUCGCAUGAUGGGUCUGGGAAAGAUAUUGUUUCGGUGGGGGAUGGGCUCGCGGCCUAUCAGCUUGUUGGUGGGGUGAUGGCCUACCAAGGCGGUGACGGGUAGCCGGCCUGAGAGGGUGGACGGUCACACUGGGACUGAGACACGGCCCGGACUCCUACGGGAGGCAGCAGUGGGGAAUAGUGCACAAUGGGCGCAAGCCUGAUGCAGCGACGCCGCGUGAGGGAUGGAGGCCUUCGGGUUGUGAACCUCUUUCGCCAGUGAAGCAGGCCUGCCUCGUUUGUGGGUGGGUUGACGGUAGCUGGAUAAGAAGCGCCGGCUAACUACGUG
rnacentral:rRNA from 1 species